UGCCAGUCGCCGCGGUAAUACGGAGGGGGUUAGCGUUGUUCGGAAUUACUGGGCGUAAAGAACAUGUAGGCGGAUGAAUUAGUCAGAGGUGAAAGCCCCGAGCUCAACUUGGGAACUGCCUUUGAUACUGCUAGUCUUGAGUUCGAGAGAGGUGAGUGGAAUUCCGAGUGUAGAGGUGAAAUUCGUAGAUAUUCGGAGGAACACCAGUGGCGAAGGCGGCUCACUGGCUCGAUACUGACGCUGAGGUGCGAAAGCGUGGGGAGCAAACAGGAUUAGAUA
rnacentral:rRNA from 1 species